UACGGAGGGAGCUAGCGUUGUUCGGAAUUACUGGGCGUAAAGCGCGCGUAGGCGGCUUUGUAAGUUAGAGGUGAAAGCCCGGGGCUCAACCCCGGAACUGCCUUUAAGACUGCAUCGCUUGAAUCCGGGAGAGGUGAGUGGAAUUCCGAGUGUAGAGGUGAAAUUCGUAGAUAUUCGGAAGAACACCAGUGGCGAAGGCGGCUCACUGGACCGGUAUUGACGCUGAGGUGCGAAAGCGUGGGGAUCAAACAGG
rnacentral:rRNA from 1 species